ACACGACUAGUGUGGCCUUGGGUGCCC
rnacentral:piRNA from 1 species